UAAAGUCCUGGCAACAUGUAUGCAGGGGAAAUGUCUCUUCCAAGAUUGUUUUUGGGAGAAUUGAUCAAUGACAUCCAGACCUGGAAAUCUCUACGUUGGUCGCACUUCCAAUACUGUGUUGAAUAAAAGUGUUAAGAGUGG
rnacentral:lncRNA from 1 species